CGCGCCGCUGCUCCCAGAGGCCGACGAGAGGGAGGCGCUGUAGCCAAUGGCGCAGCGCCCUCGGCCCGGCGCGCCGGCAGGGCCGCAGCUGGGAGGAUUUAAAGGGGCAGCGCCGCCCGCAGCCUGGCGAACAAAGAGAGCGGGACGGGCGCGCGGGGCGUCCCGCCCCCGGCCCUCGCGCGGCGGCCGGGCCCCGCCCCCCUGGCGGCCGGUGUCGCCUGCGGGCCGCGGCCGGGCGCUGCCCGGGGCGGCUCAUGCCGAGCGGUGGCCGGUGGCCCGGGGCAGGCGGCCGCCGGCCGAAGGCGGUGCCCGCCAGGGUCGCUCCUGCCUGCGGGAGGGCUCGCCGCCUCGGCCCGGCUGAGGCCUGCGUGGUGCGCGAGGAGCCGGGCCCUGGCGUCGCCCCUCCUGGGAGCCCCUGGCGCUGCUUCUCGCCGAGUCGUGCUUUCUGUGCACGCACUGCUUUCCUGUCGUGAGGAGUUUGCCGUGUAGGUGGGUAGGAGCAUCCUGCUGCUGCGGCUGCUUCUCCUUGGGCACGUAGGUCUGUCCCGUGAAGUCCCGCAAGCUGGAUAAGCUACACAAGCUGUAGCGCAGCACUGCGUGUCAGCUGCAGGGUUUUCUGUUGCCGGGUGAAGCCGCCAUGGGCCUUGGUCGUGCCAGGAGAGACCGAUGAGCUUUGUCGGAGCUGUAUUGAUGUUACUGCUAAAUCCUGAGGCCAUUAAUCGAUUUGGCUUCCAGGCCUGGAGUGAAGAGGUGGGUAGCAGCCAGAAACCUGGUUCAGCUCCUUCUCUGAAAGGACAUUGGCGUGAGGUGUGCUGGUGUCUGGGUCUAAUAUUAGAAAAUCCAUCUGUGAUUAUAUGUAACUUGCCUGUUUACCUGGUCUGCUUGGUCAGGAUGAUCAUCCUGUCUGCAUCCACCAAGCAGGCAGAUGGAUGAUCAGGAUGCAUUAAAUACCUAAUCCUGUGGGAAGUCAGCUUCUUGGUGGUGAUGUUUUUCCUAGGCCACAAAGUGUUGUGCUGUCUUCCAUUUCCUCAGCCUACGGCUGCAUGACGUGAAAAUACAUGUGUGCUUUGUAGGGUCGAGCUGAAUCCCAGAAUAUUGUGUGAAAGUGAAUCUACAGCAUCUGUAUAUAUGGACAGGCAGGUGAACCAUCCCUUUUGAGUCUGGUAAAUAAAGAAAAACAGUAGCCUCCCAUCCUCUCAGAGAAGGUCCUUCCAACAGUUUAACAACAAAGUGACUCUUCAGAAGACCACAUGUAUCUGUGCAAUGAAUUAAGUGUGUGUAUUUCCAUCACCCUUACAUGGAACAUAGAUAAAAACUGUAUGUGUUACCUGAUGUAAAUGAAAGAAGCUUUUUUGAUCCAGAAGUCAGAAGUGAACUUGUACAGAUAUCAGAGGGUCUACUGUGGUGUAAAGAUGCAAGGGAAUAUAAUUACUCAUGGCUUCAUCCAUACAAGUUCACCGCAGCAGUUGAUCUGACUGGGAGUCAAGAAUAAUAGGUUUAAGAAGUUCUCACGGCACAAAAAUUGAGAAGAACUGAGGGAUGUUUACAAGUACAUCUGUCACUUCAGUGGUGCUUAACGUUCUGCAAAGCUCUUCAAAAUAUUUUAUAAUGUAACAUCUGGGAGUGAAAUACAGAGUACUGACAUACCUACUAUCAGCUGACAACUGAACAUGAUGAGACUGUAUCAAAAUUUAUAUUGGGGUAUAUACACCUUCGGUAAUGUAAUAAUUUCAGUUACUAAGCACUACCAAGUCCUAGAGCAGGAAGAUUCCUAGGGUAGUCAUUGCCGAGGCAUUUCUGACACUUUAUCUGUUCUGCAUGGGUAUUUUCCAAGCCCCUUGUGGAUAAUUAUAUGCAGGUAGUUGUGAACACGAGCAGGGUGUGAGUUUUGGGGUGGUGUGGGAGUUUUUUUGGUAGUUCUCAUAACGCAAAAUCAGUAUUGAUUAUGGGUAAGCUUGACAUGUCUUUGCCAGUACAAGACUCCAGCAUGCUAUUUUUCUGCUAUGAGAUUAAUAAUUUGAGUCAUAAAUUGGUGUUUGUAGGAUGGAAUUUGUAAUUAAGCAUGGAUUAACUCUAGGCUGCCACGCUUCCACCCCGCAUUCCUUAAGAGGAUCUAGCACUGUUACUUUUUUGCUGGAAUGUGAUACUAUUGAUGUGAUCACUGAAACUAUUUCCUUUAUAACACUGGUUUCUUCAGGCAGCGCAGCUCAUAAAUUUUGCUGUGACAAGGUCUCUAAGCUUUAGUUCACACAAUGGUAGGACCAUUGUUAUUCUAAGAAAAACAGCAUGAAAAUCAUCUGUGAUGUGAUGCACACUGCACAUACGUUGGGUGUAACGGAUCUGACCUAAUUCUGACAUGAAGCCACAUCUGCUGGUAUGUUUGUGGUUAUUGGCCUAUGCUGACUCAUACUGGUCUUUGCCCCUGGUGAUGGCCUGGAAGAUGGCCCUUCCCUGCAUUUUCACCCAUAGAGGUUCUUGCCUCAAUGUUUUGGGGUUUUGUCUUCUGGGUGUUUGAGUGUUAGAGACUUCUGGACAUCAGAAGAGAGUAUCUUCCGUUGUAUUGCCAUCUAGCAUAGAAGUACCAGAGCUUCAGACUGGCUGUAGAUAUCUCUAGCACUUUGGCUUUCAGACCAGAUGCUGGUACGUCACUCCAGUAUAUCUGCAGCUACUGCCACACUGGUGUCUGCAUGUGCUAUGGCAGCUGUUCAGCAGUUUUGGUCUCAUGCUUCAUACAACAGCCUCAACCAAAAAAGAUCUAAACACUGAACAUCCUUAGACAGGAAUGAGCUAGGGCCUGCAGGUAGUAGAGUUAGUUCAGUGCCAGCCAGCAAGCUGGGCCUGAAAAGAUGUCCUAGAUGCUCCAGAAGAAAGAGUAAUUUCAAAGAGGUGUUGCUAGAAACUCCUGGAAGAAUGCUAUUUACAGCUCCAGUUGAAAUUAAACAGGUGCACACAAGACCUGAGCUAUCCCUGGGCCAAAGAAAGACAGAACAAAGACUGUCUUAGAACCAAGAGAAAGGUUAAUCUCUGCUGCAGAGAGCUGGCUUGCAUCAAUCUAUAAAGGCAGGCAACAAAUCUUGCUGCCUCCUGGACAUUCAGAAAGUUAUGAUGGCUUUCUGGUCAUCAGUUGAUAAUGAAGCAGAGAGCUAAGACCACAGCUCCUGGUGGCAAGGCCAUCUUUGCUUCUCUGGUGCUUGUAGUACCCUGUAAUCCUUAGGAUUUCCUGCUGUGUAACUUAGGCUUUCUCAUGCAUAGCAGGCUAGCCAGAAUGUGGAUGCUGGCAGGGACAGAGGUGGGCAUGUCCACUGCCCUUAGAUGCAGCCAGAGCAACCUGCCUGCAAAAUAGGUGAACAGAGCAUGCUUUUCAACAGCUGCAUGUAUUUACACUGCCACUUGCUGAUAUUUUCCUAUUUUUUAACAGCCAGGACUGGAGUUUUGCUUGAGCUCAGCCUAUUCCUAUCAGUCUGCCACUUCUCUUGCCAGGCUUAUAGUGAAAUUCCUUUUUUUUCCACAUUAGUAGCAAGAUGACAGAGUGAUUUUGCUGUAGCUUGCAUGUGAGCUGUUAGCAUGUAUAUGGAACAUGACAUUUUGCAAUGCUUUAAAUUUUUUUUUAUUCUGACCUACCAGGAAUCAUUCGUGCCCCUAGUAUGGAUAAUGAGCAGUGCAUGUGCCUGCCUCCAGGAAACUUCUCAUACCGUGGCUCUUUGCAUGUAGCACUUCUGCUGUGUUUGUUUGAUUUGAGAGGAGGCUUGUCUUAAAUAAUGGCUGUAGAUUUUUUUUUUUUUAAUCAGUGAGGAAGCCUCCAGCAAGUUCCACCCCCUUAAAGCAGGGAGGUGCUCAGGAAAAUUACUACCUAAAGAUGCCAUGCUGCCAGGAUUACCAUGCUAUUUUCUGCACAGAAGGUUAUUUUGCCUUGCCCAGAGCCAGUGUCUUUGAUUUGGGGGAAAAAACACAUUUAAAAUAUAAGUGUUUGCUUUGUCACACCUCCUUCCCUUUGUCUGUUUUGAAAUGGGGUGGGCUAGAGUGACAAAACAGCCCAAAGAAACCAGAAUGGGUAACCUGGGGACCUUGCACUAAAACAAGCUUGUUGAAGAUCUUGGAUACAUCGAAGGCAGGCAACUUUAUUUGCUAGAAUUCAUUCCUUCGUGGUAAUACAAGUCAAUACAAGCAGACUGAGGAGGUCCCAUCAAUUUAAAGCCAUUGUUUCAGACCUUCUGUCCUCUCAUCACUGUUGCCCCUGCCCCACAGCCAAGGAUUCUUUCCAAUUUCCAUCAGAUUUGUGCAGGAAGCAGCACAAAUUAAGCAUCUUGGGAAGCAGCUUGUGCUUAAAUGCAGCAGUAAUCACCAGCUUGGUUUCAGCUGAAGGAGUGCAUUUUCACUGCUUCUGCCAUAGCCGAACAACGUUUGGCAGUGAUCUAUAGGAGCGAUAUAUGGACAGAGGAUUUGGGGGCAGGGAAGGAUACGCAUCUCAUUGAAAAGUAAGGGCCACUCUGAGAAGCAAGGCUUUUUCUUCAUAAAUCCGUGCUGUAGGGCAGCUCUUGAAUAUUUGGGCGUUAUGAAUGGAAUCAGUCCGACCAUGAAGGACAACAGAAGAAUAACCAGGAUGCACCACUGCUGGCAGGGUAAAGAGAAGAGAAUGCCUUUCUUUGACACUUCAGCAUGCCUGCAGGACAAAAGGGAGGGCUAUUCAUGCCAUCAAUGAUCCCAGUGCAAUUGGGAAAAACAAGAACAAUAAGCGCCCUAUGCCCUACUCUAUAACUGGAGUUUGAAGGUGAUACAGCACCAUUUUCACAGUCUUACAGGUCUCAAAUAUCAGCUUCAAGGGCUGGUCUGGUCACUCAGCACCAGAAUUGCCUCAGAACAGCUCACAGUUAGGAGCUACUGAUUUCUAAAAGGCAACUGCCUCCUGUCCUCUGCUGUCACACUGGACUCUAGAAGUCCUCUUCUGAACUCCACUAACUCAGAAGCCAGGAAUUUCUUUCUCCAGGCCUGGUUCUGUAUCCUCCUUGCUGUCCUCCCCAAUCAAAUGAUAAAUGUUUGGUCCUCUACCUGUGCUUUUAUUCACUGCUACAAGGAAAUCACCCCUUAAGAGGGCAGCAGAGACAUGUAGCCGUCCUAGAGAUACUUGAUUCAUACAGCCCCGGUGCCAAUACAAAUAGGAUGCAACGUUUUAGUAGCCUGAACAAACUACAAGCACUGAAGUGGCCAUGGUCCAUAGCUGGUAUCUCUCUUUCUGCUGGCCCUGGAAGUAGGUGACUGAACCUCCGAUAAACUGCUUGCUCCUAGUAAUGCCAGUGCUCACACAAUUUGUUAGAAACCCUACGGUGUUGCAACGCACUCCAGGAUACCAAACCCCAUCAGUAAAACAUGCAUCAAGUCAAACACAUCUCUUAAAUCAUCUCUGCCUUCUAGUUGCUGAAAUGCUUCUGGUAAGAGGCCUGUCUGUAACUCAGACUUGGACAACUUUCACAUCUACCUGCCUCUUAUGGCUUUCAUCACAAGCGCUGUCAAAGGAGCUGUAGGAAAACAUGUUACAAGCUUCUGAGCUGGUGCCAUUACCUUAUCCCACUAUACCUAAGAGGAAAACCUUAGUAAAACACUCCAAAUCCAGUAUACUCAGAAAGAUUGAUUACUACUGUAUCUUAAGAAUCAGUAACAAGCAACAUACACUUGUACCAUUUAGUCACUUGCUGAACAGAGACUAACAGCAUAAAGUUCAAUAGAAGGAAAAACAUUUUCUGUGAAGAGAAACACUGAUCGUGAAACUCUACAAGACGAUUUAACAACUCACGGUUGCCAAAAGGCAGAGGUUUCACUCAAACUUUUUACUUUGAACCACCUUUGCUGCUGGUCAUGCACUGCACAAACUCAUUCACCUCACUAACCUCAGGGGCGGGGGAAUGAGAUUUCUGCACUUAAAUCAGUUCAUAAAAGGUUUUAAUGAGCACCAGAGUCAGUGCAAGAGAAGGUAUGGGAUGCUGUGGCCAGGACUGGGGCAUAAGGAGCAGCAGCAACAGCAAGCACUUGUAACUGCUCAGUUGCUCAGAGAAUCACACUUUGGAAGGAAUAGGUUUGGGGGGGCUCACUACUUGUAGAAACAAGGAGUUGCUAACCAGUCAAGUUCAGGUCUUUUGUUAGGCAAAAAUAUUUGCACCUCCCAGGAAGUGAAACAGUGCUUGUGUCACUAGGAAUGUCCGGAGUAUCACCUGCAUUGAAAUAAAGCAAAUGAGUCUCGGGGAGAUUUAGGUUAUCGGGACUCCCUGGAAGUCUCCAAAAAGAGAGGUCAGCAGAAUACAGUAGAAAAAGCCCAUCACGAGUGAAAACUGAAGACUUGCUACCCAAGGCAUUAAGGAGUCAGUGGUAGUAAGACAGCUGCAGAAUCUGUAUCAGGUCACCUAGUUAAAAACAGAGACCUUUCUGGUUUAGUGAAGAUAAUUUCAAGAGACAAGAGAAGACUGUUUGCAUCCCCACACACACACCUUCUUCCUCAAUUCUGGCACUUGCUCAGCAGUGAUUUUGGCAUUUGUUGGAUUCCACGAGCCAUUCAACUUGCUAACCUAGCAAAAAAGCAAUUGGGCUCAAAACAACAAAAAGACAAGCUGCUGCUGGGUUAACAGGCUGAAUGACUCCCACAAGUCUGAUACACUUGACACAGGGAACGGGAGGGGAAGAGGUGGAAGCAGGAAGGAGACAUUCUGCUUUACACAGCAGCAUCAAUAAAUCAGUUCUGUUUCUUCAGUGCCCCCGGUUUGCAUGGCUUUAUAAUCACCUGCCAGUCCAGCUGCUGCAGAAAGGGACUUCUGCUCUCUGCAGUCCAAUCACACAAUUGUGCUGAAUCCCUAGGAUGAGGGAGGGCAGGACUGUGUUGCUCCUGCCAAAAUAUAUUUCUGUAUUUUCAGUGUGGAAAUAGAUUGUUGGGUUUCUUUCA